AGGACGAACGCUGGCGGCGCGCCUAACACAUGCAAGUCGAACGAGCGAAGAGGAGCUUGCUUCUCUGAGCGAGUGGCGAACGGGUGAGUAACGCGUGAGGGAACCCUGCCUCAAAGAGGGGGACAACAGUUGGAAACGACUGCUAAUACCGCAUAAGCCCACGGGUCGGCAUCGACCAGAGGGAAAAAGGAGCAAUCCGCUUUGAGAUGGCCUCGCGUCCGAUUAGCUAGUUGGUGAGGUAAUGGCCCACCAAGGCGACGAUCGGUAGCCGGACUGAGAGGUUGAACGGCCACAUUGGGACUGAGACACGGCCCAGACUCCUACGGGAGGCAGCAGUGGGGAAUAUUGCACAAUGGGGGAAACCCUGAUGCAGCGACGCCGCGUGGAGGAAGAAGGUCUUCGGAUUGUAAACUCCUGUUGUUGAGGAAGAUAAUGACGGUACUCAACAAGGAAGUGACGGCUAACUACGUG
rnacentral:rRNA from 1 species